UACAGAGGUCUCAAGCGUUGUUCGGAUUCAUUGGGCGUAAAGGGUGCGUAGGCGGCGCGGUAAGUCGGGUGUGAAAUCUUGGAGCUUAACUCCGAAACUGCAUUCGAUACUGCCGUGCUUGAGGACUGGAGAGGAGACUGGAAUUCCCAGUGUAGAGGUGAAAUUCGUAGAUAUUGGGAAGAACACCGGUGGCGAAGGCGGCUCUCUGGACCGAGACUGACGCUGAGGCGCGAAAGCGUGGGGAGCAAACAGG
rnacentral:rRNA from 1 species